AGCGAACGCUGGCGGCAGGCCUAACACAUGCAAGUCGAACGAACCUUUCGGGGUUAGUGGCGGACGGGUGAGUAACACGUUGGAACGUGCCUUUAGGUUCGGAAUAACUCAGGGAAACUUGUGCUAAUACCGAAUGUGCCCUUCGGGGGAAAGAUUUAUCGCCUUUAGAGCGGCCCGCGUCUGAUUAGCUAGUUGGUUGAGGUAAUGGCUCACCAAGGCGACGAUCAGUAGCUGGUCUGAGAGGAUGAUCAGCCACAUUGGGACUGAGACACGGCCCAAACUCCUACGGGAGGCAGCAGUGGGGAAUCUUGCGAAAUGGGCGAAAGACUGACGCAGCCAUGCCGCGUGAAUGAUGAAGGUCUUAGGAUUGUAAAAUUCUUUCACCGGGGACGAUAAUGACGGUACCCGGAGAAGAAGCCCCGGCUAACUUCGUG
rnacentral:rRNA from 1 species